GACGAACGCUGGCGGCGUGCUUAACACAUGCAAGUCGAACGGAAAGGCCCUGCUUUUGUGGGGUGCUCGAGUGGCGAACGGGUGAGUAACACGUGAGUAACCUGCCCUUGACUUUGGGAUAACUUCAGGAAACUGGGGCUAAUACCGGAUAGGAGCUCCUGCUGCAUGGUGGGGGUUGGAAAGUUUCGGCGGUUGGGGAUGGACUCGCGGCUUAUCAGCUUGUUGGUGGGGUAGUGGCUUACCAAGGCUUUGACGGGUAGCCGGCCUGAGAAGGUGACCGGCCACAUUGCGACUGAGAUACGGCCCAGACUCCUACGUGAGGCAGCAGUGGGGAAUAUUGCACAAUGGGCGCGAGCCGGAUGCAGCAACGCCGCGUGCGGGAUGACGGCCUUCGGGUUGUAAACCGCUGUCGCCUGUGACGAAGCGUGAGUGACGGUAAUGGGUAAAGAAGCACCGGCUAACUACGUG
rnacentral:rRNA from 1 species